UGUAUAAUGGGUCAGCGACUUAUAUUCUGUAGCAAGGUUAACCGAAUAGGGGAGCCGAAGGGAAACCGAGUCUUAACUGGGCGUUAAGUUGCAGGGUAUAGACCCGAAACCCGGUGAUCUAGCCAUGGGCAGGUUGAAGGUUGGGUAACACUAACUGGAGGACCGAACCGACUAAUGUUGAAAAAUUAGCGGAUGACUUGUGGCUGGGGGUGAAAGGCCAAUCAAACCGGGAGAUAGCUGGUUCUCCCCGAAAGCUAUUUAGGUAGCGCCUCGUGAAUUCAUCUCCGGGGGUAGAGCACUGUUUCGGCAAGGGGGUCAUCCCGACUUACCAACCCGAUGCAAACUGCGAAUACCGGAGAAUGUUAUCACGGGAGACACACGGCGGGUGCUAACGUCCGUCGUGAAGAGGGAAACAACCCAGACCGCCAGCUAAGGUCCCAAAGUCAUGGUUAAGUGGGAAACGAUGUGGGAAGGCCCAGACAGCCAGGAUGUUGGCUUAGAAGCAGCCAUCAUUUAAAGAAAGCGUAAUAGCUCACUGGUCGAGUCGGCCUGCGCGGAAGAUGUAACGGGGCUAAACCAUGCACCGAAGCUGCGGCAGCGACGCUUAUGCGUUGUUGGGUAGGGGAGCGUUCUGUAAGCCUGCGAAGGUGUGCUGUGAGGCAUGCUGGAGGUAUCAGAAGUGCGAAUGCUGACAUAAGUAACGAUAAAGCGGGUGAAAAGCCCGCUCGCCGGAAGACCAAGGGUUCCUGUCCAACGUUAAUCGGGGCAGGGUGAGUCGACCCCUAAGGCGAGGCCGAAAGGCGUAGUCGAUGGGAAACAGGUUAAUAUUCCUGUACUUGGUGUUACUGCGAAGGGGGGACGGAGAAGGCUAUGUUGGCCGGGCGACGGUUGUCCCGGUUUAAGCGUGUAGGCUGGUUUUCCAGGCAAAUCCGGAAAAUCAAGGCUGAGGCGUGAUGACGAGGCACUACGGUGCUGAAGCAACAAAUGCCCUGCUUCCAGGAAAAGCCUCUAAGCAUCAGGUAACAUCAAAUCGUACCCCAAACCGACACAGGUGGUCAGGUAGAGAAUACCAAGGCGCUUGAGAGAACUCGGGUGAAGGAACUAGGCAAAAUGGUGCCGUAACUUCGGGAGAAGGCACGCUGAUAUGUAGGUGAGGUCCCUCGCGGAUGGAGCUGAAAUCAGUCGAAGAUACCAGCUGGCUGCAACUGUUUAUUAAAAACACAGCACUGUGCAAACACGAAAGUGGACGUAUACGGUGUGACGCCUGCCCGGUGCCGGAAGGUUAAUUGAUGGGGUUAGCGCAAGCGAAGCUCUUGAUCGAAGCCCCGGUAAACGGCGGCCGUAACUAUAACGGUCCUAAGGUAGCGAAAUUCCUUGUCGGGUAAGUUCCGACCUGCACGAAUGGCGUAAUGAUGGCCAGGCUGUCUCCACCCGAGACUCAGUGAAAUUGAACUCGCUGUGAAGAUGCAGUGUACCCGCGGCAAGACGGAAAGACCCCGUGAACCUUUACUAUAGCUUGACACUGAACAUUGAGCCUUGAUGUGUAGGAUAGGUGGGAGGCUUUGAAGUGUGGACGCCAGUCUGCAUGGAGCCGACCUUGAAAUACCACCCUUUAAUGUUUGAUGUUCUAACGUUGACCCGUAAUCCGGGUUGCGGACAGUGUCUGGUGGGUAGUUUGACUGGGGCGGUCUCCUCCUAAAGAGUAACGGAGGAGCACGAAGGUUGGCUAAUCCUGGUCGGACAUCAGGAGGUUAGUGCAAUGGCAUAAGCCAGCUUGACUGCGAGCGUGACGGCGCGAGCAGGUGCGAAAGCAGGUCAUAGUGAUCCGGUGGUUCUGAAUGGAAGGGCCAUCGCUCAACGGAUAAAAGGUACUCCGGGGAUAACAGGCUGAUACCGCCCAAGAGUUCAUAUCGACGGCGGUGUUUGGCACCUCGAUGUCGGCUCAUCACAUCCUGGGGCUGAAGUAGGUCCCAAGGGUAUGGCUGUUCGCCAUUUAAAGUGGUACGCGAGCUGGGUUUAGAACGUCGUGAGACAGUUCGGUCCCUAUCUGCCGUGGGCGCUGGAGAACUGAGGGGGGCUGCUCCUAGUACGAGAGGACCGGAGUGGACGCAUCACUGGUGUUCGGGUUGUCAUGCCAAUGGCACUGCCCGGUAGCUAAAUGCGGAAGAGAUAAGUGCUGAAAGCAUCUAAGCACGAAACUUGCCCCGAGAUGAGUUCUCCCUG
rnacentral:rRNA from 1 species